AGGUACUAUCGGAAUUACCUCUGUGCGGAGGUACUGUUAGGGCGCUUUUAGGAACUGUGCUGUGAGAACCAAAAGAUGGCGAUGAUGUUACUCUGGAGACAGUCUUGGAGGAGAACAGCGAUGCAGCUGCUUAGUUCUGCUAGGAGAUUUCAUGACCCCCCUUAUGUUAUCUACAAACAAUUCCUUCUUAUGUUAUUCUGAAAUACUUUAGUGCUUCAAGUUUUAAAUUCCUACUCAAUUUGGAUAACUGUAAUCCCUAUACUCAAGACUCUUAACUGCCUGUCUGCACUCCAACUGCUUUCUUUAUUAUAAUGGAUGACGUCUUAUUAUUA